rnacentral:SRP_RNA from 1 species
UUUGGAGGCCAGUCAGGUGAAAGUACCAUGAACUCCCCCAGGCUUGAAAAAGAGCAAGGGUAAUGAGUAAUAUUCAGGUUGGUUGGUCUCCUUAAAU